rnacentral:rRNA from 1 species
GAUGAACGCUAGCUACAGGCUUAACACAUGCAAGUCGAGGGGAAACGGCAUUGAGUGCUUGCACUCUUUGGACGUCGACCGGCGCACGGGUGAGUAACGCGUAUCCAACCUUCCCAUUACUGUGGGAUAACCUGCCGAAAGGCAGACUAAUACCGCAUAGUCUUCGUUGACGGCAUCCGAUAUGAAGUAAAGAUUUAUCGGUAAUGGAUGGGGAUGCGUCUGAUUAGCUUGUUGGCGGGGUAACGGCCCACCAAGGCGACGAUCAGUAGGGGUUCUGAGAGGAAGGUCCCCCACAUUGGAACUGAGACACGGUCCAAACUCCUACGGGAGGCAGCAGUGAGGAAUAUUGGUCAAUGGACGGAAGUCUGAACCAGCCAAGUAGCGUGCAGGAUGACGGCCCUAUGGGUUGUAAACUGCUUUUGUAUGGGGAUAAAGUUAGGGACGUGUCCCUAUUUGCAGGUACCAUACGAAUAAGGACCGGCUAAUUCCGUGCCAGCAGCCGCGGUAAUACGGAAGGUCCAGGCGUUAUCCGGAUUUAUUGGGUUUAAAGGGAGCGUAGGCUGAAUAUUAAGUCAGUGGUGAAAUACAGAGGCUCAACCAUCGAUAUGCAUUGCAACUGGUAUUCCUGAAUGCCGACCGGCAUGCUGGAACUCCUGCUGGAACGGUGAAAUGCUUAAAUAUCGCCAUGAACUCCCAACUGCAAAGGCGGCGUACGGGCUGCCACUGACCCUUAAGCUCCAAAGGGUGGGUAUCCAACCAGAAUAAAUUCCCUGGUAAUCCCCCCCAUAAACCAAGGAUUCUCCCCUGUUGCUAUCUGAUGUCAGCCGCCAAGCGAAAGCAUUAAGUAUCCCACCUGGGGAGUACGCCGGCAACGGUGAAACUCAAAGGAAUUGACGGGGGCCCGCACAAGCGGAGGAACAUGUGGUUUAAUUCGAUGAUACGCGAGGAACCUUACCCGGGCUUGAACUAAGAGAGGCGGAUUGAGAGAUAGAUCUCUCUUGGGACAUUCUUGGAGGUGCUGCAUGGUUGUCGUCAGCUCGUGCCGUGAGGUGUCGGCUUAAGUGCCAUAACGAGCGCAACCCUUUUCUUCGGUUGCCAUCAGGUCAUGCUGGGCACUCCAGGGAUACUGCCAUCGUAAGAUGUGAGGAAGGUGGGGAUGACGUCAAAUCAGCACGGCCCUUACGUCCGGGGCUACACACGUGUUACAAUGGGGGGUACAGAAGGUCGCUACCUGGUGACAGGAUGCUAAUCUCCAAAACCUCUCUCAGUUCGGAUUGGAGUCUGCAACCCGACUCCAUGAAGCUGGAUUCGCUAGUAAUCGCGCAUCAGCCAUGGCGCGGUGAAUACGUUCCCGGGCCU